UACGUAGGUGGCAAGCGUUGUCCGGAUUUACUGGGCGUAAAGAGCGCGCAGGCGGUCGUCCAAGUCGCGUGUGAAAGCCCCCCGGCUCAACUGGGGAGGGUCACGCGAUACUGGUCGACUCGAAGGCAGGAGAGGGUAGUGGAAUUCCCGGUGUAGUGGUGAAAUGCGUAGAUAUCGGGAGGAACACCAGUGGCGAAGGCGACUACCUGGCCUGUUCUUGACGCUGAGGCGCGAAAGCUAGGGGAGCAAACGGGG
rnacentral:rRNA from 1 species